AAAAAAAAAAAAGAGAGCAAACAAAUUUCCUGAUUCUCUUAACCACUCUUUUACUGCUUCAAUCUCUUCUUUUUUUUUUCCUUCCUGAAUUUCUUUGUGUGUGCGUGUCUUGGAUUAGGAAAAAAUGUAGAGAGAGCAAGGGGAGAGUUGAUAGUUUUAAUUGGAGAGCAAAUACAUACCCCCGGACAAAAAGCCAUGUGAGCCCAUGUGUGCGUGCGUUGGAAUGGAAAGUAAUGUAGAAAGAGGGGGAAGAGAGAGGGGAUCUAAAAUAGGUAAGAACAUAACCUAUGGAUAUAGAGUCCAUGUGGGAUCAUGUGAAAGGAAAGAGAGGCAAUGAGAGAGAGAAAAUUCAUAUGAAAAAAUGGCGACGUGACUUGAUGGAGGGACAUCGUUUGGUUU
rnacentral:lncRNA from 1 species